UUUCCGUAGGUGAACCUGCGGAAGGAUCAUUAAAGAACGCCCCGUUUUUUGAAAUGGGUAAUUCUAAACCGUGUAUACAUACCUUUGUUGCUUUGGCAGGCCGCCCCUCAGGGCGUCGGCUCCGGCUGACUGCGCCUGCCAGAGGACCCAAACUCUUUUGUUUAGUGAUGUCUGAGUACUAUAUAAUAGUUAAAACUUCCAACAACGGAUCUCUUGGUUCUGGCAUCGAGAAGAACGCAGC
rnacentral:misc_RNA from 1 species